rnacentral:rRNA from 1 species
AUUGAACGCUGGCGGCAUGCUCUACACAUGCAAGUCGAACGGUAACAGGCCGCAAGGUGCUGACGAGUGGCGAACGGGUGAGUAAUGCAUCGGAACGUGCCCAGUCGUGGGGGAUAACUACUCGAAAGAGUAGCUAAUACCGCAUACGAUCUAUGGAUGAAAUCGGGGGACCGUAAGUCCUCGCGCGAUUGGAGCGGCCGAUGUCAGAUUAGGUAGUUGGUGGGGUAAAGGCUCACCAAGCCAACGAUCUGUAGCUGGUCUGAGAGGACGACCAGCCACACUGGGACUGAGACACGGCCCAGACUCAUACGGGAGGCAGCAGUGGGGAAUUUUGGACAAUGGGCGAAAGCCUGAUCCAGCAAUGCCGCGUGCAGGAAGAAGGCCUUCGGGUUGUAAACUGCUUUUGUACGGAACGAAACGGCUCUGGUUAAUACCCGGGGCUAAUGACGGUACCGUAAGAAUAAGCACCGGCUAACUACGUG